AGCCCGUGUUAGAAUUGGACGCCUGCUGAUUGUUGCAUUGGUUUUCUUUCUUUCUGACGCAUUCUGUCGAGGAUGGGACUAGCACAUGGCUCGAUGCAUCAUAAUUUACAAGGUUCUCUUUCUCCUUUGUUCAUCGCUGUUCUCCGCUAUUCUCCUCUCUCUCUCUCUCUCUCUCUCUCUGAGACCAUCUCUCUCUUUUCUUCUUCAUUUUCAUCAACCACCCCAGAGCCCUUCUAGCUCUCUUCUUCUCCAUGACCGGCAACAUCAGGACCAAAACAUAUGGUGAAAAUUUUGGAAUCUCUUCCAACAUUCUUGUGAGACUCUAAUUGGUCUGGAUAUGAAGCUACUAAACGCAUGAGACACAGAAAUCAUCUUAAUUGGUAAAACCAUUUUUAUGGUUUGCAUUAUGUUGACAUAAAGGGGUAUCGAAGACUGCUACUUUUGCUUAACGUUGUUGAAUUUUGCAUACAAGUUCCAUGAAGUACUUCUGACAGAAUUAGCGGCUGAAUUUCUAGGAUGAAGAGUGCGAAAAGUUGAUUAUCUACUUGAGAUGACUGCUUUUUCGCUUUUCUCCUAUACUGGCAUGAUCAAGACGCAAGAUCAGAUCUUUCCAACCACGAAUAGUGUGCAUUUGACAGUUUGAAUUUCCUUUUUUUUUUAUAAAUCUUGCCCCGGUGAUGAUUAGUAAUCAUCCAAAAUUAUACAUGUAUAAAUAUAUUUAUGGGAACAUCAACAAUUGUCUAGAGAUCAAUUGGCCUCUUUACUUAUUCAAUAA